AGACGGGACCCGCACAAGCGGUGGAUGAUGUGGAUUAAUCGAUGCAACGCGAAAACCUUACCUACCCUUGACAUGUCCGGAAUCCCGAAGAGAUUUGGGAGUGCUCGCAAGAGAGCCGGAACACAGGUGCUGCAUGGCUGUCGUCAGCUCGUGUCGUGAGAUGUUGGGUUAAGUCCCGCAACGAGCGCAACCCUUGUCAUUAGUUGCCAUCAUUUGGUUGGGCACUCUAAUGAGACUGCCGGUGACAAACCGGAGGAAGGUGGGGAUGACGUCAAGUCCUCAUGGCCCUUAUGGGUAGGGCUUCACACGUCAUACAAUGGUCGGUACAGAGGGUUGCCAACCCGCGAGGGGGAGCUAAUCCCACAAAGCCGAUCGUAGUCCGGAUUGUUCUCUGCAACUCGAGAGCAUGAAGUCGGAAUCGCUAGUAAUCGCAGGUCAGCAUACUGCGGUGAAUACGUUCCCGGGUCUU
rnacentral:rRNA from 1 species